rnacentral:rRNA from 1 species
UACGUAGGGUCCCAAGCGUUAAUCGGAAUUACUGGGCGUAAAGCGUGCGCAGGCGGUUGUGCAAGACCGAUGUGAAAUCCCGGCGUACUAGGAGUAUCAUGUGACUGCACGGCGUAGAGUGUGUCAGAGGGGGUAGGAAUCCACGUGUAGCAGUGAAAUAGCGUAGAGAUGUGGAGGAAUACCGACUGGCGAAGGCGAGCCCCCGUCGGGAGUAACACUGACGCUCAUGCACGAAAGCGU